ensembl:lncRNA
AGAAAAGACAAGAGAGGGGCAGGCUGGCUCUACGGACCCGAGCGGAACAUAAACGAGACGUGCUCUCUCUGCGUGCCUUUGGAAAACCUUUUUGGCCUACUGCUUAAAUACAAGGUUGAAGAUCAUGAUGAUAAAAUCCAACUAAGUUGUCAACAACACUAAUCCAGAAACAGAGAAAAUGUCUAAAAGUUGCAAAGGAGGCAGCUGCGGCAGUUGGAAGCAGGUCAUACAGUGAAAGCCGAGAUGCUGGACAUUGACUUGCAUCUGAAAGGAGACCUAGCCAUCCUUGGGCAGAGGGAACAGAAAUAAAGUCAACAAAGGCCCAGCUGCGGAGAGAACCGGAAACUUGUCUUCCAAG